GCCAGCAGCCAUAUCGCCCUGCCACUCUCAACUGGCUGCCCACUGAAGCUAAGUAGGGUUAAGCCUGGUAAGUACCUGGAUGGGAGACCUCCUGGGGAAGCUACGGUUACUGCUGGAA
rnacentral:rRNA from 1 species